UACGUAGGUGGCAAGCGUUGUCCGGAUUUACUGGGCGUAAAGAGCGCGCAGGCGGUCGUUCAAGUCGCGUGUGAAAGCCCCCGGCUCAACUGGGGAGGGUCACGCGAUACUGAUCGACUCGAAGGCAGGAGAGGGUAGUGGAAUUCCCGGUGUAGUGGUGAAAUGCGUAGAUAUCGGGAGGAACACCAGUGGCGAAGGCGGCUCGCUGGGCCAUUCCUGACGCUGAGACGCGAAAGCUAGGGGGAGCGAACAGGA
rnacentral:rRNA from 1 species